AGCAGUCCCGCCCCGGGAAGGAAAAAGACUGCAAGCAUACGGAAUAGGGGGACAAGCUGUGGAGACGCGCCCGAGUUCGGGGUCAGCAGCUCACCUGGCGAGCGCGCGGGCUGCACCGGGAACCGCCGCGGCAGGUAGCAUGGGGUCCAAGGCCAGGGACUGCAGCCAGCAGUCCACGGUGAAAGGAGAGCACUUCACGGUCUAUGAAACCUUGCAGGCAGCUGCGCAGCAGCAGCAGGCAGUGUCCUGCUUUCACCCAGUUUUUGUACUCGGCGCAAUUGAGGCGGGCUGCCAGCUCCGACACCACCAUGUCUUACUCCUGAAGGCGGGGCCGGCGGUAAGCACGCGCAGCACCCUGGGAUGCUCCCACGCAGCGCAGGCGUAGCCCAACCCCCAAAACGUCCAGACGUUUAGCGUCACUGUGCGGUGUACACUUCAGAGGCUAGAGGCUGGCCACUGUUUCCGCUCCAGGAAGUGGCAGCUCCACCCCCGCUUAAAGGAACCGCUUUGGUUUGUGGACAUGGAACAUUUAGACUAAUCCUUUUAAAGCUUUAAUUUUUAUUCCUGAAUACCCUGCCAACCCUCUAACCAACCUGAUCCCCUCCUGAUGUGCUGACCUUUUUAUUGUAAAGAGGAAUGCUCAAGGUGUGUUUCUCGAAUGACAUGUUCCUUGCAUUGUGCAAUUCUACAAAAUUAACUCAUCCCUAAACCCACUGAACAGCAAAUUCGGGGUAUCAAUAACAUGCUUACCCUCACCUGAAGCAGGGGGCCUAUUGUAUUGUGUGCCAUGCUCCCCAGUACAUAUGUUAAAGUGACACUAGGACCAGAAACUCCUUAACUAGAGUACCUGGCAGGAAGAAGCAAAAGGGAUAAUGUACUUCCUGGAUUUGGACAGCUCAGAAAAGGGUUAUUUCAGCUGCACAGGGAAGCCAUAUGCUACACAGACCAGAAUGCAUUAGAUUGUCAACAUCAAGUGAGAAAACAUGUUUUAGAUGCUUUGAGUGAGGUUUUUUGACCUUGGCAAACAUAUUGAAGUGGUAUGGAAUCAAAAGAGUCGGAAGGAACACUGUAAACAGAGAAGCCUUGCACAGGCAAUGGUAAGGACCACUAGCUCUGGGCUCAAACUCUCAAUUUUUUGUGUUUUGAUCUUGGCUGAUCCUAAUUUUAAUAUUAUUAAGACGUUAUUUCCUUCUUUGUAACUCGGUUUAUCAUCUGUAAGAGGAGGUUAUUAAUACUUACCUCACAGUGUGGUGAGGAGCAUUUAUACAGAUGGGAACACUUACAAUGAUGCCUGGCACACAUUAAGCUUUGAGUAAAUGCUAACUUAUUUUAUAUUGACGCAAAUAUGCUCUUUCAUCCACUGUUUACAUUAUUGGACAUUUUAUCAAACCACUGGCCAGUUGGAAGUGGGGACAAUUUAUAAAAAAUAGAGACCAGAUGUGAUGAUCUGAAGACUCAAAGUACAGUCAGUGUAGGCAGGCUCUGUAAUACUUUAAUAAAGUAUAUACCAAUUUUGUCUUACUAACCUCAACAUUAGACCCAUUCAAAGCAAAUGAUGGGAAAUACCCUAUUCCCAUCAAAUCAAAUCAAAUCAAAUCAAAUCAAAAAUUCCAAAAAAAACCCACCUCUGAAUGAAGUCUACAUUAGGACUUUCCUUUUUCUGACUAAAACAUUUUCUGUAAGUAUGAACUUUGUAUCAAGAACAACUGAAAGGGGGGCCUGGGAGUAGGGAACAGCCCUGUUUUCCUGGUACUCAGAAGUGGGUCACUUGGACUUAGGAGGUUCAAGGUCAGCCUGGGCUACAUGGCAAGACCCUGUCUUGUUU
rnacentral:lncRNA from 1 species